rnacentral:rRNA from 1 species
AAAUUGAAGAGUUUGAUCAUGGCUCAGAUUGAACGCUGGCGGCAGGCCUAACACAUGCAAGUCGAACGGUAACAGGAAGCAGCUUGCUGCUUCGCUGACGAGUGGCGGACGGGUGAGUAAUGUCUGGGAAACUGCCUGAUGGAGGGGGAUAACUACUGGAAACGGUGGCUAAUACCGCAUAACGUCGCAAGACCAAAGAGGGGGACCUUCGGGCCUCUUGCCAUCAGAUGUGCCCAGAUGGGAUUAGCUUGUUGGUGAGGUAACGGCUCACCAAGGCGACGAUCCCUAGCUGGUCUGAGAGGAUGACCAGCCACACUGGAACUGAGACACGGUCCAGACUCCUACGGGAGGCAGCAGUGGGGAAUAUUGCACAAUGGGCGCAAGCCUGAUGCA